UUUUAAACUACGUGUUAACACGUAAUUACGUGUUAACACGUGGUUUUGUGCAUGCACAUUGGACCACGGAGCUUUACCACCACCUACUGGCGUGGUGGUAUUGCUCAAACAAACAGAACCAACAGACUAGGCUUCUAAAUUGCAAGAUUUUAUCUAAAAUAUAUUCUGAACAAUGUAUUUUGUGGGCAUAAGUAGUCUACAACUAUAGAAUGAUUACAUACUAAUUAAAAAAUUAACUAUUGUUUAAAUUGACUUUUUAAAUGCUGAAUGUCAUGGCCAUUUUCAGCAUCAAAAUAUAAAUUGUGUAAGUUUAAUUGCAUAUUCUCUCCAAAUAACAUUUUCACAAACACUUAUAAUGUAGCACAUUUCUAUAGACAAGUCUUUUUACUUACAUGUUAAAAAGUAAACGAAUAUCAAUAUUCAUAUGUCAACCCCAAUGCAUUCAUUUUUUGUUAGUGAGCUACUUUCAUAACAUCCUUAAGACUUAUAAAGGCAACCUGUGUGUAGUGGAAUGAAGUCAAUGUUUUUAUUGGUUAUUUGUUAUCACAUAUUGGCAUUCACCUCUGUCUUCUUUAUUUCCAGUGUGUUAGUUGUUUAGGUAUGGAGGGGUGAGCAACAGGAUGGCCAACUUUUUGAUGACCAUACAGCCAAACUAACUUAUGACUUGUUUGAUCGUUAAAAAAACAAAAAAGAAAGCAACAGUUUUGUAUGGAUGAUUUGCUAGGUGUACAGAAUCCACACCGACACUGGGAGAACAUGCAAACUCCACACAGAAAGGCUUUCCAUCCCAGAAGGGGCUCGAACCAGGGUCAGUGUACAGAAGAUCUCCCGUUAUUGGUAUUGGAAGCUGGUAUACUGAGAUAUCUUUGUGCAUUGUUCUGUAAUAUUUUUCAAGGUUCAGUGAAUCCAUUAACACAUUUUUUUCAUUGUGCACUCAAGACACAUAACACCUUUUUUCAAAUUGAAUCACAAUAAAUAACAGUGUAUUAUUACAAACUGUUUUCAGGUGCUGGGGUGUGUGCCAAUUAUGUACUAGAAAAUUAAUGAUUUCAGCCAUACACGUUCAAAAUUAAUUAGGAUACAGUAAAUAGGCUACAGCUAGACAUAAUAAUAUUAUGUAUUAUUAUACAUAAUAAUAGGUAAUGGUAAUGUUUUUCCUACAUUUCUAUACCUUUUAUUUUGCCUUUACUGUCUGUACUAAUAUGCGUUCACUGUAAAGCUGCUUUGCAACAAUGCUAAAUUAUAAAAGUGCAUUAGUAAUAAAUCUAAAUUAAUUACAUUUUUGGAAUAGAAUAUUCACAUAAACUUUUUUAUAAAUUCCACAUAGCCAACACCGUCCUUGGUAACAGACAUCACAACUUUUAUGUAUUUUGUUUACUGGUUAUAAGUAAUGGAACAACCUUUAAGGAUUUCCAGUCUUUAUAAAAGACUCAUCACCAAUUCAUUAUCACAUAAUUAUACACAUUUCCAUGUUUGUACAAUAAAAUUAAUGCAUGGAGUAUCACAUCUCUGAAAGGCUUUAUCCCUAUUCUAAAUUCCAAUGCCCUAAACUGGAGGUAAGGCAUCUGGGUUAGAGGUUCUGACUGAGUGGCAAGGUAAUAAGUUGUGUCUCCAGAGAAUGACAGGACACACACUCAGUUUUCUUUUAAGCUUCAUAGUAUUGCUCUUUUUUUGUACAAAUCAAUGCUAUUGUUGUGAAUAUCAAUGCUUUUGGGUAGACAAACAAUAGCACAUAUGAAUGACUAUUUUUACCAUCACACUGUAGUUUUUUCAGGUUGGAAUACUAUUCACAGGUCCCUGUCAUACAAAGACUGUUUUUCUCUUUAUCCUGUUUUUUCUUUAAACUACUAGUAUCUUUGGACAAAGUGGUGAAUUCGCCUGAAAGAGAUCAACAGAACAUAGUUUACAUACACAUGCCUAAAUACGCAUGUGCAUAUUCUAUGUGCAUCAUACUAUUGUAAUUGUUUAUGGUGCAUUUUUAAUGUGUUUUUACGUGGCUUGCUCCAGUAACACACGUACAAGCUCUUUUCACUCACUAAGGGUUUAUUCAGAAGUCAUAAAUGACAAACAUGACGACAAUGAUAAUAAAAAUCAGACAUAAGAACUGAAAAUAUUGACAAAUAAUUGCAUCUUUGUCUUUUAUACGACUCAAUCAACAAACUGUUAUAGUAACAUCACAACAAACACCAAAAAAAAGAAUAUAACGGUUAACUGACAAUCAUAUAUCAAUCAAACUAACACAAAAAAUAAAGCAUAAACAUGCGGUAUACAAUUCAGAAUCACAAGUAAACAAACACACCAUACUUUACACGCUAAAGCAAUAAACGUACAACAGUAACCACCUACAGAAAGGUGCAAGAAAACAAAGAAAACUAUUCCACACUUCGUUAACUUUACCUGUCUGAUUUUAACACACAAAAAAGAGUGCAAGCGCAUUAGUACAUUAGUGCUCAGCUGUGCGUAUAUUUAUAUCUCCGGAUGAAAACAGUUCCGUCUUAAUUAGUUCCGCUAAACGAUAAUCCCGUUAAGACAUAUCAUUCACUUCUCUUUAGUAUUGUGAGUUUGUUUUCAUUCGUUGUAUGUGUUUUAAUGAAUCUGUACUCUGGGAGCUGCAAUCAAAAUUCCUUGUGUGUGUGUGUGUGUGUGUGUGUGUGUGUGUGUGUGUGUGUGCGUGCGUGCGUGUAAGCAUACUUGACAAUAAAAUGUUCAUUCACACUAUUUAUGUUUCCUGUGUUGUCUGAUAUUGCUGAUUCUAAGAGCUCUGUUUAAAAUGCAUUCGUAUUUCCUUUGCGUUUAUGGUUCUAAUGUAAAUGUUUCAUUUGCGUAUUACAUGUCUAAUCGUUACCACAAAUAACCACUAGAUGGCACAAGCGUAUAAAGAUUGACGUUCUUCUUCGUCACCGUUGUUAAGAGCUCCUCCUCUAAAGGAAGUUGCGAAGUUGGUGAGCUGGGCUGUCGUAACCGCUAGGUCAGUGCACGUCUACACAUUAAUGAAUAUUCACAAUAAAACGAAGGCGCGCAUCACCGCAUUAAUAGUCAUAAGAAGGAUUACAAGCUGUUACAACAGCCAGUGUCAACAUGAAAACACACCUUCGUUUUAUUUGAAUUAUUCAUGAUGUUGUGACCCAAACACUACGUUAAGCUUACAGUGAAUUUACCUCAUAAGCCACGGACAUUGACGCAAGGUAAACGCACAAGGAAGAAGCAAAACCUGCCACCGAGAAAUACAAGCAGAGAAACCGCAGAAGAAGAGAAUGAGAAAUAGUUUCGUUGGGAAAAUGGCUUAGGGCAACAGACAGUCAGUCAGGCUUGCACAGACAGAGUGGCCAGCGAGAUUAUGUGCCUGUGUUGAUUCACAAGCUUGACAGAUGCUGAUUUGGAUGACAACAUAAUAAUAAAUAAACCAGAAGCUGAAUCUGCUUGUUGCGGGACUGCAUACAUUAACAAAGGAGUUGUUUGGCAAAAUAUACUUGGACCAACCUGCCUUGAAGCGCACCAAGCCAUGUACUGCACAGGUGGAUAUAUGAAUGCUUAUUUAAAAUUAUUAUUAUUAUUAUGAUUAUUCAGCCUUAUAUUGUUGUAAGCAAUAUUAGUUUACACACUUCAAGUUGUUGUGUCUGUGUUUAUGUAAGCAUAUGUAGCUCAGGGUCACUGGUUUCAAUUAUGCUUCAUUUGUUGCUGUAACAUCCUUGUCUGCUAUACAAACCUAUUUUAUCUAUACAGUUUCUUUGUAUGUUUCUCUUUUAUCAUAAUGUGUAACUUUCUUACACUUUCUAUGAGCGGCCUCUACACUAAUAUCAGUUUGUUUUGUUUUCCAUGCCCCGUCCUGGAGUUCCCGAAGACACCAGAGGUCGCCAGUCCAAGCUCCGGGUUGUGGCCUGAUGCUCUUCCCAGUUCAGCCAGAUCCUUGUGAUGAUGGGCAAUCCACCUGAUGACAACUAACAAUUACCAUACUUUAACUUUAACAAAUAUAUUCUUUUCAUACGUUUUGGUAUUAUUGCAAACUGUUCUGGUAUAUUGUAAUUUAACAAUAUUUAAAAUAAUAAUAUACCUAGAUUAAAUAUACUUCAAUUAAAUAAUUGACCGUUUCUGACAAUCCAAGAUAACAUUUAUUUCAGUUUCAUCAGUGUACAUUGCAUAAAGAAAUAAUACCAUGUGUCUUAAUAUCAUAUACUUUUUUAAAAUUAUGAUGUAUGUACAGCUGCUUUGCAACAAUGAUAAUUGUGAAAAGCGCUAUAUAAAUACAAUUGAAAAUUGAAUAUUUUGCAGGUAGGAAUUGUUAGCUUAAUUCUUAGCUCAUUGGUUAGACUUAGUCAGUUUAAAUGUGUUUAUAUAAUAUAUGUAUAGUUAUGUUUAAUGUUAUUUGUAAUCUCCAACGCUGCUCCUGGAGAGCUACCAUCCAGCACACUUCAGCUCCAACCCCUCUUCAGCACAUCUGUCUGUAUUUAUCCAGCAACCCUGAACACUUUGAUAGGAUGGAUCAGGUGUGUUUGAUUGGGGUUGGAACUGAUAUCUUCAGGAUGGUAGCUCUCCAGGAGCAGGGUUGCAGAUCCCUGGUUUAAGUUAUGUGUUAAAUGUGAAACACCGUGGUCCUGUGAGACAUAUUAUUUCUUUGUAUGUCCCCACAUAUAACAGAAUGACAAUAAAACUGAGCUGACUUGAA